rnacentral:rRNA from 1 species
AUUGAACGCUGGCGGCAUGCCUUACACAUGCAAGUCGAGCGCGAAAGGGGGGCAACCCCGAGUAGAGCGGCGGACGGGUGAGUAACGCAUCGGAACGUGCCCAGUAGUGGGGGACAACCUCGAGAAAUCGAGGCUAAUACCGCAUACGACCCACGGGUGAAAGCGGGGGACCGGCAAGGCCUCGCGCUAUUGGAGCGGCCGAUGUCCGAUUAGCUAGUUGGCGGGGUAAGAGCCCACCAAGGCGACGAUCGGUAGCUGGUCUGAGAGGACGACCAGCCACACUGGGACUGAGACACGGCCCAGACUCCUACGGGAGGCAGCAGUGGGGAAUUUGGACAAUGGGGGCAACCCUGAUCCAGCCAUGCCGCGUGCGGGAAGAAGGCCUU